GAUGAACGCUGGCGGCGUGCCUAAUACAUGCAAGUCGAACGCGCAGCGAAAGGUGCUUGCACCUUUCAAGCGAGUGGCGAACGGGUGAGUAACACGUGGAUAACCUGCCUCAAGGCUGGGGAUAACAUUUGGAAACAGAUGCUAAUACCGAAUAAAACUUAGUAUCGCAUGAUACAAAGUUAAAAGGCGCUACGGCGUCACCUAGAGAUGGAUCCGCGGUGCAUUAGUUAGUUGGUGGGGUAAAGGCAUACCAAGACGAUGAUGCAUAGCCGAGUUGAGAGACGGAUCGGCCACAUUGGGACUGAGACACGGCCCAAACUCCUACGGGAGGCUGCAGUAGGGAAUCUUCCACGAUGGGCGCAAGCCUGAUGGAGCAACGCCGCGUGUGUGAUGAAGGCUUUCGGGUCGUAAAGCACUGUUGUAUGGGAAGAAAUGCUAAAAUAGGGAAUGAUUUUAGUUUGACGGUACCAUACCAGAAAGGGACGGCUAAAUACGUGCCAGCCGCCGCCGUAA
rnacentral:rRNA from 1 species